GACGAACGCUGGCGGCGUGCUUAACACAUGCAAGUCGAACGGAAAGGCCCUGCUUUUGUGGUGUUCUCGAUUGGCGAACGGGUGAGUAACACGUGAGUAACCUGCCCUUGACUUUGGGAUAACUUCAGGAAACUGGGGCUAAUACCGGAUAGGAGCUCCUGCUGCAUGUUGGGGGUUGGAAAGUUUCGGCGGUUGGGGAUGGACUCGCGGCUUAUCAGCUUGUUGGUGGGGUAGUUGCUUACCAAGGCUUUGACGGGUAGCCGGCCUGAGAGGGUGACCGGCCACCAUGGGCCUGAGAUACGGACCAGACUCCUACGGGAGGCAGCAGUGGGGAAUAUUGCACAAUGGGCGGAAGCCUGAUGCAGAAACGCCGCGUGCGGGAUGACGGCCUUCGGGUUGUAAACCGCUUUCGCAUGUGACGAAGCGUGAGUGACGGUAAUGGGUAAAGAAGCAACGGCUAACUACGUG
rnacentral:rRNA from 1 species